CCCAAGGAGCUGAUGUUUCUGGCCAACAGCCAGUGAGGACCUGAGGCCUGCCAAGUCACAUAAGGGAGCCUGGAAGUGGGUCUUCUCAGUCCUGCCAACAGCUGUGAGUGAGCUUGGAUGCAGAUCCUCUCCCAGUGGAGCAUUUGGAUGACCACAGCUCUGGCUAACACCUUACUUACAGCCUUGGGAGAGACUGAGUCAGAGGCAUCCAGCUAAAUUGACCCACAGACACGAUUUUAGGUUUAAAAAGAUGGCAGAUUCCAUCUUGGGCACUCUCUUGUAUGACUCUUUGGAGAAGACAGUUUUCAUGUUGUGAGAGGCCUGGCAGAAGGGCCCAAAUGAGUUCGCUGGGAAAUGGAUCACAGAAACCAUGAGGUCCAGGUUUAUGAAUGCAAAACAAUGGUUUAAACAGUAUUCAUUCUGGAACAUUGUUCAAUUUCACUAGUACUAUUCAAAUUCUGGAUGAGAAUUCGCUUCUGCAAAUUAGAAGCAAUUCAUCUAAGAUAAUGAACACAGAAGCAAAGCAGAAGCCAUUUUCCCACAUCCUUUCAACUGUUUUAACUGCAAACAAAGACAAAGAAAUGCAAGGUACUAGCAGUGCUUUUUGUGGCACUUUCCAAUUUUCUGGGUAUCAAGAGGCAAUUGUGACUAUGGCAUUAGCAGUGUAACUCUGGCUUCCUGAUUACUGGAUUGCAGCAAGAAGAGUAUAUUCAUAAUUCACAGUUGCAGCAACCAUAUUAGCUAUAAUUGGCUCUUGGGUGGAUCAUUUCUGUACUCCCUAAAGUCAUUCCAGCAAGAACAGCCUAGAACUCAGAUCUUCUAACUAUUCUAUAAGCAUCAAAUUCUCUUGUAUUAAAUAUCUUCCUGUUUUAAAUAAAUGUAAUUUUUGUUUCCUGGACUAAAUCCUGACUCACACACUAUUUGAUAUAUCUGUGUGUCUGUGGAACUAAUACUAAAGUUUCAUGAAAAUCCACUUUUUAUGUGUGAUACAUUAAUUUUUCUAUUUUACUUGUCCUAUUUAUAAUUCUCUUAAGUUUAUAGUCACUCUUAAAUUUCCAUGCUAUUCUAUGUCUAUUCAUUAAAUAAAAUGCUAAUUGCAAUGUUUUAAAAUCUACUUCAUGACCCACCAAUGGGUUGCAAGCUUCAGUUAAAAGACACUGCUUACAGCAUGAUCUUAUUAAGAGAGCUGAAGUAUAUUGCAGAAUAUCACAACUGCAUUACUUAUUUUUUAUUCCAUCCUGGUCUUCAUGAUAGACAAUCGAAGCUUUUCCAGCUAUCAUCUUAUUGGCCUCUACCUAAAUCGGAGACAGCAUUCAGGCAAGUCUCCACAUAGCUAAAAAUGUUUUCAACAAAUAAGCAAAAAUGGAGAACAGAAAAUAAUAAUAAGAAAAUCGUAUGACUGACAUUAAGGUUUUGGGGAAAACUGCUCUUGAUCUAAAAAGAAUGCAAGGUUUUUUUAUAAAACCACUUUCUGAAAGCUUUCAUUGACCAGACUUGAUUUUGUUAUUAAAACAUACCUCCAGAAACCA